rnacentral:tRNA from 1 species
AAAGAAUUAGUUAAAAAUAUAACAUUAGAAUGUCAAACUGAAAUUAUUAAAGAUUAAUAUUCUUUA